rnacentral:rRNA from 1 species
GUAGGGAAUAUUGGACAAUGGGGGGAACCCUGAUCCAGCCAUGCCGCGUGGAGGAAGACUGCCCUCUGGGUUGUAAACUCCUUUUAUAUGGGAAGAACCGUCCUCAUUAAUGAGUGACCUGAAGGUACCGAAGGAAUAAGCACCGGCUAACUCCGUGCCAGCAGCCGCGGUAAUACGGAGGGUGCAAGCGUUAUCCGGAAUCAUUGGGUUUAAAGGGUCCGCAGGCGGGCUAUCAAGUCAGAGGUGAAAUCCCACAGCUUAACUGUGGAACUGCCUUUGAAACUGAUGGUCUUGAAUUAAGUGGGCGUUGGCGGAAUAUGACAUGUAGCGGUGAAAUGCAUAGAUAUGUCAUGGAACACCGAAAGCGAAGGCAGCUAACGAUACUUAUAUUGACGCUCAUGGACGAAAGCGUGGGUAGCGAACAGGAUUAGAUACCCCAGUAGUCC